rnacentral:lncRNA from 1 species
UGAUGAUAAAAUUAAUCACACCUAAAACUUAUUGGUGAGUCUACUCUUAAUUUUUUUUUUUAUAGCUAAACGUUUUCCUUAUUCGUGUAACUUGAUACAAUUUUAGUCAGCAAAAAUUAGCUGUGAUGGGAAAUAUUACAAUCCUGAUCCAAAAAAUCUGCAAUGUCUUUAUGCUCUUAGACCGAUCCAAGAGGUAACAUUUGCAUCUUAUUAUAUUUUAUAUUUUUGAAAUUUACUAUAGCAUAAACACUCAUGAAAUGAUCAAAUACUGCAGAGUAUAAAAAAUAUAAAAGAAGGACAUAUUCUGGAACCAAAAUGUAAAAGUAUGGCACCAAAACCAGAUGAAUUGGGAUGGGAUCAAACACUUGCCAAAGAUGAUUCCAUUGACCACCUCCUCCUCCCAUCCAAAAUAGAUGGAAUGUGGUGCCGCGUAAAUUUCGGCCUCUAUUUAUAUAUCUCAUGGCAUGUUCUCCUAGAGUUAACAAGGUUUCUCAAGACAUAAUUUCUUUUGUACAGUCUCAAACUUAUGCGACAUCAUAUAUUUGGGCAAAUGAUCCAACCGUCCAAGAAGCUCUUCAUAUUAAAAAGGUACUUCUGAUACAAAAUUGUUGAAGAUCCAUUGCACUUUAUAAGGGUUAAUCUUUUAUUUUGAUUGCCAGGGAACAAUAACGGAUUGGACGAGAUGCAAUCACAGCUUAUCCUAUGCACAUAAUAUAGGAAGUGUUGUUCAAUAUCAUAAAAUUCUCAGCAGGAAAGGAUAUGAAGCUUUGGUUUAUAGGUAGUCAUAUUCAUUGUUUUUUUUUUUUUUAAACAUAGUGACUUAAUUUGUUCUGAGUUUAUUCUAGUCCAUCAACUAAGAUAAUAGUUGUUUCACAAGUCAUGGUAAAAGUAUUAAUCGAAAAACCUAACUCUACAAAUUUGUAAAUUAGAUUUAAUAUUUUUCAAUUGUUUGUGUUCUUUCCAGUGGUGAUCAUGACAUGGUCAUACCUUAUAUGGGUACUUUAAAAUGGAUUCAUGGUCUCAAUCUAACAAUAGAUGACGAGUGGAGACCUUGGAAUGUUAACGGCCAAGUUGCAGGGUUGGUUUCCAAUUCUUUAUCACUUCCAUUCACACGCAUAUAUAUUGCAUCUUAUUAAUUAAUCUCCAAAUCUCAUUUACAUUUUAUUUUGUAGAUACACAAGGAAAUACAAGAAGAAUGACUUCUAUCUCACAUUCGUAACUGUGAAGGUAAGAAAAUUUCAAUAUGCUCUUUCUCAUAGUGAUUAACAGAAAAGGAAGUAAACAUUUGUUAUAUAUUGCAGGGUGCAGGUCAUACGGCUCCUGAAUAUAACCCUGAACAAUGUCUUGCAAUGCUUGACCGAUGGCUCUCUUUAUAUCCUUUAUAGGUUUGGGUUGAUGGCGAAGUUUUAAGGGUUCAUCUAUUACAUCUUUUUAACAAGGUAUUGUCGUUAUAUAUUCUGUAAUUGUUUAUUCAGUUAAUAAAACCAAUGUAAUAUGAUAAUCAUACAGAAA